rnacentral:rRNA from 1 species
UGGGGAAUUUUGCACAAUGGGCGCAAGCCUGAUGCAGCGACGCCGCGUGAGGGAUGAAGGCCUUCGGGUUGUAAACCUUUUUCGCUCAUGGUCAAGCCGCAGCUUUGGGUUGUGGUGAGGGUAGUGGGUAAAGAAGCGCCGGCUAACUACGUGCCAGCAGCCGCGGUAAUACGUAGGGCGCGAGCGUUGUCCGGAAUUAUUGGGCGUAAAGGGCUUGUAGGCGGUUGGCCGCGUCUGCCGUGAAAUCCUCUGGCUUAACUGGGGGCGUGCGGGGGGUACGGGUGGACUGGAGUGCGGUAGGGGAGACUGGAAUUCCUGGUGUAGCGGUGGAAUGCGCAGAUAUCAGGAGGAACACCGGUGGCGAAGGCGGGUCUCUGGGCCGUUACUGACGCUGAGGAGCGAAAGCGUGGGGAGCGAACAGG